GGACCCGCACAAGCGGUGGAUUAUGUGGAUUAAUUCGAUGCAACGCGAAAAACCUUACCUACCCUUGACAUGUAGCGAAUUUUCUAGAGAUAGAUUAGUGCCUUCGGGAACGCUAACACAGGUGCUGCAUGGCUGUCGUCAGCUCGUGUCGUGAGAUGUUGGGUUAAGUCCCGCAACGAGCGCAACCCUUGUCAUUAAUUGCCAUCAUUUAGUUGGGCACUUUAAUGAGACUGCCGGUGACAAACCGGAGGAAGGUGGGGAUGACGUCAAGUCCUCAUGGCCCUUAUGGGUAGGGCUUCACACGUAAUACAAUGGCGCGUACAGAGGGUUGCCAACCCGCGAGGGGGAGCUAAUCUCAGAAAGCGCGUCGUAGUCCGGAUCGGAGUCUGCAACUCGACUCCGUGAAGUCGGAAUCGCUAGUAAUCGCGGAUCAGCAUGUCGCGGUGAAUACGUUCCCGGGUCUU
rnacentral:rRNA from 1 species